UACGAAGGGGGCUAGCGUUGCUCGGAAUCACUGGGCGUAAAGCGCACGUAGGCGGAUCUUUAAGUCAGGGGUGAAAUCCUGGAGCUCAACUCCAGAACUGCCUUUGAUACUGAGGAUCUUGAGUUCGGGAGAGGUGAGUGGAACUGCGAGUGUAGAGGUGAAAUUCGUAGAUAUUCGCAAGAACACCAGUGGCGAAGGCGGCUCACUGGCCCGAAACUGACGCUGAGGCACGAAAGCGUGGGGAGCAAACAGG
rnacentral:rRNA from 1 species